rnacentral:rRNA from 1 species
CCCUUAGAGUUUGAUCCUGGCUCAGGACGAACGCUGGCGGCGCGCCUAACACAUGCAAGUCGAACGAGAGAUGAGGAGCUUGCUCUUCAAAUCGAGUGGCGAACGGGUGAGUAACGCGUGAGGAACCUGCCUCAAAGAGGGGGACAACAGUUGGAAACGACUGCUAAUACCGCAUAAGCCCACGGCUCGGCAUCGAGCAGAGGGAAAAGGAGCAAUCCGCUUUGAGAUGGCCUCGCGUCCGAUUAGCUGGUUGGUGAGGUAAUGGCCCACCAAGGCGACGAUCGGUAGCCGGACUGAGAGGUUGAACGGCCACAUUGGGACUGAGACACGGCCCAGACUCCUACGGGAGGCAGCAGUGGGGAAUAUUGCACAAUGGGGGAAACCCUGAUGCAGCGACGCCGCGUGGAGGAAGAAGGUCUUCGGAUUGUAAACUCCUGUUGUUGAGGAAGAUAAUG